UGGGGAAUCUUGCGCAAUGGGCGAAAGCCUGACGCAGCAACGCCGCGUGAGGGAUGACGGCCUUCGGGUUGUAAACCUCUUUCGACCGGGACGAAGAGAGAUUGACGGUACCGGUAUAAGAAGCACCGGCCAACUACGUGCCAGCAGCCGCGGUAACACGUAGGGUGCAAGCGUUAAUCGGAAUUACUGGGCGUAAAGCGCGCGUAGGUGGUUUGUUAAGUCGGAUGUGAAAUCCCAGGGCUCAACCUUGGAAUGGCACCCGAUACUGGCAGGCUAGAGUACGGUAGAGGGGUGUGGAAUUUCCUGUGUAGCGGUGAAAUGCGUAGAUAUAGGAAGGAACAUCAGUGGCGAAGGCGACACCCUGGACUGAUACUGACACUGAGGUGCGAAAGCGUGGGGAGCAAACAGGAUUAGAUACC
rnacentral:rRNA from 1 species